AGUGAACGCUGGCGGUAGGCCUAACACAUGCAAGUCGAACGGCAGCACAGUAAUAGCUUGCUCUUACGGGUGGCGAGUGGCGGACGGGUGAGGAAUACAUCUGAAUCUACUUUUUCGUGGGGGAUAACGUAGGGAAACUUACGCUAAUACCGCAUACGACCUACGGGUGAAAGCAGGGGAUCUUCGGACCUUGCGCGAUUGAAUGAGCCGAUGUCGGAUUAGCUAGUUGGCGGGGUAAAGGCCCACCAAGGCGACGAUCCGUAGCUGGUCUGAGAGGAUGAUCAGCCACACUGGAACUGAGACACGGUCCAGACUCCUACGGGAGGCAGCAGUGGGGAAUAUUGGACAAUGGGCGCAAGCCUGAUCCAGCCAUACCGCGUGGGUGAAGAAGGACUUCGGGUUGUAAAGCCCUUUUGUUGGGAAAGAAAAGCAGCAGGUUAAUAACCCGAUGUUCUGACGGUACCCAAAGAAUAAGCACCGGCUAACUUCGUG
rnacentral:rRNA from 1 species